GGAAGGAUCAUUAAAACGUUCCAAAACGUAUUAACCAAAUGUGAACUUGUUUUUAACCACAAAACAUUUUUAACCAUACCUUUUUGCUAGUUGACUUUUAUAUGUUAGUAGAAGAAAUGUAUUCUAUGUUUCUUUUAUUACACGUUUCUUAAUUGAAUCGAUAAAAUUACAACUCUUAGCAAUGGAUAUCUUGGUUCUCGCAACGAUGAAGAACGCAGCGAAAUGCGAUACGUAAUGCGAAUUGCAGAAUUCAGUGAAUCAUCAAAUCUUUGAACGCAAAUUGCGCUCUUGGGUUAGUCCUAGGAGCACGCCUCUCUCAGUAUCGGUUCAAACUCAUCUCAGCAGCGUACUGUGUGUAACAGCAUAUGUAUGUGUUAGCUGGAAAAUGAGAGUCUAAAGAAUUCAUUCCUUUAGUCUCUUUAAAUCUAUCGAGUGAGACAUCAUUUCUUAUACACUUUCCUUUGAUUAGGAAAAGCUAAUUUAUUGAUUAGUUGUUUGUAAGAGUAUGACGUGAAUACUGACCUUCGUUGGUCGAAUCAUUUACGUGUAACUUUUCGAACGGCUAUUAAAAGUCAAUUUCUUAGUGUCUAAGUUUAAAUAUGUUCCUCAUGUUGUCGUGACCGUUAACAACGUCACAAUCGAUUAGUUUGCCUAACAACAAAUUUAAUCUGAAUUUUGAUCUGAGAUGAAGCGAGACAACCCCCUGAAUUUAAGCAUAUUAAUAAGGGGAGGAAAAGAAACUAACAAGGAUUCCCUUAGUAACGGCGAGUGAAGCGGGAAGAGCUCAAUUUGAAAAUCGAUAACCUAAGCGGGUCAUCGAAUUGUAGCCUAUAGACGUACUAUCAGCUAAAACCUGGGUAUAAGUUCUUUGGAAUGAGGCAUCAUAGAGGGUGAGAAUCCCGUAUAUGACCCAAAGUUUUUAGCGUACGAUGUGCGUUCAUUGAGUCGAGUUGUUUGGGAUUGCAGCUCUAAAUGGGUGGUAAGUUUCAUCUAAAGCUAAAUAAUGGCGAGAGACCGAUAGCGAACAAGUACCGUGAGGGAAAGAUGAAAAGAACUUUGAAAAGAGAGUUAAAAGUACUUGAAAUUGCUAAGAGGGAAGCGCUGACAACCAGUGAUUCAUAUGCUAUAUCGCUAUUAGCACUCCUAGUUUGCGUGGUUAGUUGGAAACUCUGACUGCGUAAACGAAAGGGAUGUUGGUAGUUUAAUAGUAUGUGUUAGUCAAGAUUCAUUCGAAUUGUGGGAGAAGGUAGUAAGAAAGGUGAGCUACUCCGGUAGCUGUUAUAGUCUUAUUACUCUACCUCGAUUUGGAUGGAGGAAGUAAUAGUGCGCUGCUUGCGGCUUAGUCCCAUGCUCCUAUCUGGUUUUGCGAUUUAGAUAGCAAUGCUAUGUCUGUUGUAAAAUUAGAUACUGGGUGUGGUGUACUCUAUGUGCUAUCACGAUCUUGUACGAAAUGGUUGUCAUCGACCCGUCUUGAAACACGGACCAAGGAGUCUAACAUCUAUGCAAGUAUUUGAGUGAAAAACUCUGAUGCGUAAUGAAAGUAAAGGAAGUCUUGUACUUCUGAGGUAGGAAUCCGGUCAAACGGAGGCACUAUCGACCGAUCAUCACUUGUGAAAGAUUUGAGUAAGAGCAUAUCUGUUGGGACCCGAAAGAUGGUGAUCUAUGCCUGAACAGGGUGAAGCCUCAGGAAACUGAGGUGGAGGCUCGUAGCGAUACUGACGUGCAAAUCGUUCGUCUGAUUUGGGUAUAGGGGCGAAAGACUAAUCGAACCAUCUAGUAGCUGGUUCCCUC
rnacentral:misc_RNA from 1 species